GAUGUUGCUGUACAGAGGAAGGAGAUCCUCCGAGCAUCAGGCCUCAUCCCUGAACAAAGGAGUUGAUCCUCCUCAUGGCCAGCGUCCCUGCACAUAGGGAGGGGAUCCUCCUCACAGCCAGUGUCCCUGUGAAGAAUGGAAACUAUCAUCCACAACCACCUCCCAUCAUCCCCAUGGUGGCACCACUGUGGAAAUGGGAUGGUGGAGCGUGUACUCCACCUGUGGAUUUCUAUUCCAAGGGAAGAUGUCACUUAAACGUACCUAAUUAGUAAAGAAAUUACCAUUGUGAUAGCGUGAUGAUGUGACUAUUUUAUGCAGAAAUAGUUUGGCGAUUGGUCACAUUUGUAAGCCCUCACAUAAUAUGCAGGGAAUUGUUGAUUUUGCAACCAAAACAAUGCGAUGGCAGAGUACUGGAGUAAACUCCCAGUAAUCCCCGUGACUGCGUGUAGGUUAAGAUUGGGUUGUAACAGAGUAUCAGAGCGAGACGUUCCUACCUGUCAGCUAGUAAUUGUUCUGUGUGGUGACAUGAUCAGAGUGGCCUGACUUCUUCCACUUAUUACAGAUGUCCGACUUAGAUAUGUUGAGCAUCCUGCUAUGAUGUCCAUUACCAUGCCGGAACACUCCGAGGCCAACCCUCAGUGCCAAACUGGCAGCCGGCCGGUGGCUGAGCCCGAGACCCCUGCUGUUCACAAUAACAGUGGAGGCUGGCUCAGCUGGGUCUUUGGGAGUGGAAGAGUUAAUAAGAAGGAGGUUCAUCUACCUGAGGACAAAGACAGAUCUAUUGUCUGGGAUCCAACUCUGCACAGAUGGGUUAACAAAACUGAGCCCAAGGCUGAGAACAAGUGUGUACAACCACCUCCACGAAUGGGGACAUAUGGAUAUCAGGAGAACACUGGCAGUGUCCCCAAAGGAGUGAAUCCUUACUCUAUGAAAGCAAGUGAAUAUUGCUUUAGAAUACAUGUGGUUUAACCAAGACCGUGUCAGCCGAUCAUAGAUGUCCCUGGUGGUCUCCUGCUAACACCUUUCCCACUACAAGCAGGUAUAUGGGGCAGCAGAUACCCUACAAUGCAUUACAAUGAUGGGACCAACUCAAAGCCUCAAAGCCGUGGGCCUGGACUGCUUCCUAGACAGCUCUCUGGCUUGCUCCCUCCUUCACACUUUGACCUCAUGGCACCAAUGGUUGUACCACCUGACACUCUACCCUACUGAGGCCAUUUGCCCAGAUUGGAUUUGCAAUACAUAGAUUUUUUCAGCA